rnacentral:rRNA from 1 species
AUACCCUAUUAUUUUUAGUGUAAAAUUAGUAAACCUGAGUAUUAGUAGUUAUGAUCUUUAAACUUAAAGGAUUUGGCGGUAUUAUAAUCUAUUUAGAGGAAUUUGUUAUGUAAUCGAUAGUCCACGUUAAAUCUUACUUAUAUUAUUUCUUGUAUAUCGCUGUUUAUAAAAAUAUUUUUAGAUAAUAUUUUUAUAAUUUUUUAUUAAAAAAUAUUUCAAGUCAAGGUGCAGUAAUAUUUAAGGCUAAUAAUGAAUUACAAUAAAAUAUAUUUAAAUGGAUUAUUAUUGGGAAUAAAUAUGAAGGUGGAUUUAAUAGUAAUUUGAUAUAGGGUAAUCAAGUGAUUAAUAGCUCUAUAAUAUGUACACAUCGCCC